AGGUGGCAUGGGAGGCGAGAAGGUUAGCAUUUCCUUGACGAGGAUGGAAGAGGCCCUCAGGUCUGACAACGGGCACGUGCUGAAGGGACGGCCUCCUACUUUGUGGCAUCGAACCAUCCUUUAA
rnacentral:ncRNA from 1 species